rnacentral:rRNA from 1 species
GACGAACGCUGGCGGCGUGCCUAAUACAUGCAAGUUGAGCGAUGAAGAUUGGUGCUUGCACCAAUUUGAAGAGCAGCGAACGGGUGAGUAACGCGUGGGGAAUCUGCCUUUGAGCGGGGGACAACAUUUGGAAACGAAUGCUAAUACCGCAUAUCAACUUUAAACAUAAGUUUUAAGUUUGAAAGAUGCAAUUGCAUCACUCAAAGAUGAUCCCGCGUUGUAUUAGCUAGUUGGUGAGGUAAAGGCUCACCAAGGCGAUGAUACAUAGCCGACCUGAGAGGGUGAUCGGCCACAUUGGGACUGAGACACGGCCCAAACUCCUACGGGAGGCAGCAGUAGGGAAUCUUCGGCAACGGACGAAAGUCUGACCGAGCAACGCCGCGUGAGUGAAGAAGGUUUUCGGAUCGUAAAACUCUGUUGGUAAAGAAGAACGUUGGUGAGAGUGGAAAGCUCAUCAAGUGACGGUAACUACCCAGAAAGGGACGGCUAACUACGUG